rnacentral:rRNA from 1 species
UACGAAGGGGGCUAGCGUUGCUCGGAAUCACUGGGCGUAAAGGGUGCGUAGGCGGGUCUUUAAGUCAGGGGUGGAAUCCUGGAGCUCAACUCCAGAACUGCCUUUGAUACUGAAGAUCUUGAGUUCGGGAGAGGUGAGUGGAACUGCGAGUGUAGAGGUGAAAUUCGUAGAUAUUCGCAAGAACACCGGUGGCGAAGGCGGCCCGCUGGGCAGUGACUGACGCUGAGGCGCGACAGCGUGGGGGAGCAAACAGG